rnacentral:rRNA from 1 species
GUAUCCUGGCUCAGGACGAACGCUGGCGGCGCGCCUAACACAUGCAAGUCGAACGAGAGAUGAGGAGCUUGCUCUUCAAAUCGAGUGGCGAACGGGUGAGUAACGCGUGAGGAACCUGCCUCAAAGAGGGGGACAACAGUUGGAAACGACUGCUAAUACCGCAUAAGCCCACGGCUCGGCAUCGAGCAGAGGGAAAAGGAGCAAUCCGCUUUGAGAUGGCCUCGCGUCCGAUUAG